UUCCAGAAACAUACGAUUAUUGUCAAAGGGGUCCCCUUCCCAAUUUCCUCUUUAUGAGGGGUACAGGGGUAGGGUGGUUCAUGGCACCAUUAUUUACCUGGACUUCAGUUUUUAGGAUCAAAUUUAACCUUUCCCUCUCCCCUCAUUUUCUCUCUCCCUCUCUUGUGUAAGUCAGCCAUCUAGGCUUGUGAAUUCUUCUAGUUAGCUUGAGCUCACAGUUGUCUUGAAGCUAUUCCUUGGGCAUCCAGGUACAGUUCUCUUUCAGCACAGGUCUCUCCAAACAGGUCUAUUUGUCUUCCUCCCCACGUUUCCCAGUGGGCCCUUCAGAAAGAAAGCUGUGGCUCUACUGGGAAGGCAAGAGCUUGUCAUUGAGGAGGCUUGGGCCAGAGGCAGGACGACCAGUUAGGAGGCUGCGGAAAUCGCCUGGGCAAGCAAUGGUGGCCUUCCAGCAAGGACAGGUGCAGUGAGAGUGACCAGGAGUGUAAGAACUGUGCUUCCCACAGUGCUUAUGGCUGUGAGACCAUGUGGAAAUACACAAUAAUGACCCUGGAGCAUGGAGCCUUCCUGAGACUAGCUUGGUGAGCUUCCACCUGGAGGAAAUGAAGAUAGAAGGAAAACCCAAUGUGACCUCUUUGAUUAGGACAUAGAUUCAAACACAUGCAGAUGGGAAGUCUUGAUCAAGGGAAUUCUGUUUUCUUCUUUGUGAAGCCUUUAAUAAGAUGAAUAUACUCUUCAACUCAAGAUCUGAAAAAGCAAUGAAAAUACUUCUUUCUGUUGUACUUAACACAAUUUUUUUGUGGUUUCUUUUUAUCUAGGUACCUGAUUCAAGAACAAAGGUCCCUAUCACUGUUCAGUCCAUCAUCAUUCAGUCUCUAAAUAAAACGCUCACCCGACGGGAAGACACUGAUGUGCUGCAGCCGACUCUCAUCAACGCUGGACACUUUAGCCUUUGCAUGAAUGUUGUUCUUGAGGUAAAGUACAGCCUCACAUACACAGAUGCGGGUGAAGUCACCAAAGCUGAUCUCUCAUUCCUUCUGGGGACAGUUAGCAGCGUAGUGGUCCCACUGCAGCAAAAGUUUGAAAUUCAUUUUCUUCAGGAAAAUACCAAGCCAGUCCCUCUCAGUGGAAACCCUGGUUAUGUC
rnacentral:sRNA from 1 species